ACAAUGGGGAGGGGUCGCCAGCAGACUGUACACAGACUUUUGUGGCUACACUUUUCUAAAGAGAUGAUACUGUUUUCCAAAGACCUUACUUAGUGUGCGCUCCAGGGUCCCUAGGUUAUUAAGACACACAUCCCUGGAGUUGAAGGAACGGAGGACAGAGACCUCCUCUCACACAUUUGAAAACUGGACGUGUAAAGAAGGCUCACACUGAAUUCUACAAGGCUUCCCAGGAAAAGAAGAAACUGGAACCCAUAGGACUCUACUUUGUUCUCCCAGAAGCAGCUAGCACUGGAAGCAAGAGAGAAACCAGUAUCCAUGCAGAGCAAGCUCGACCUACAAGCUUCAAGGGACAAGGAAGGGGUUUCCAGUGGCCAUGAUGACCCAUGACUGACCAGGGACAGGCUCUUAUCUGGAUGUCCUAAAGACCAUUCCUCUGAUGGAGAGAAGGAAUAGAAAUGCUGUCUGGCUCAAGGAACCUGCUGCUGGCUGGGACUCAUCACUGCUCCUUCGCAUGGAAUGCUCCGAGGACAGAAGCCCAGCUGAGAGCUAGUUAUGCCUUCCUAAUUUAUGGUGGGUCACAGAGGGAAUGAGGCUAGCAUUCCUAAGUCUCCCUGUGCCAAGUGACAAGCACUGGCCUCACGUGUGGCAUCUCAAUACUAACCAAUCCCUGUGACACGGGAAGAAAUCUUCA
rnacentral:lncRNA from 1 species